UUAAACCUGUAUUGCUUGUAAUGGGAAGUUUCACAAUGUGACAUAUGACGGUUAAUGUGAAACCUCUAAAGACAAAGACUCACCACUUCACAAGAAGGCAAAGAGAGACACAUGUUGUACAUAUUAGGGAUUACCAUUGGCCUUAUGUUCAUCAUAAUGUGCCUUUCAAAUGGACUGAAAGAGAAACAAGAUUUGAUUAACAGAAAUAAAGAGAGACAUAGCAAAGGAGGAAAUCUUCAAAAUCCUGAAAACAAGGAUGCCAACAAGAAAAAGUUAAAUGAACAUGAUUAUCACUUAUUGGCCAAAGUCCUAUCUGUUGGGUUGGUAGACGCGGACCCUAAUUAUCUUCAACACCUCAAGGACUACAGGGACCUGCGUGGAAGCACUUCCUGAAGUAUCCUCACAUCAGAAAUGCACCAGGAAAUGCAAUCGUUAUUCCUGAAAACAUCCACAUUUGGUGCCAUGAAAAAAUACUAAUUCCUGGUGCAUUUCUAAGUUCAAGCUAUCCAGAAAUUGGUAUAAAAACAUUAAUAUCUUAUGCACUCAUGGGCCGGUCCCACAGGUAUCACUGUAGCAAUCUCCUUCCCAGACAUUUCUGCUGUGCAAAAUAGCCUGUGGACGAGGUCAUGAUUUUCAGUGAUGCGCUGCCCUAUGUAUAAAUUUUUUAUUACUAAUUGAUGAAAUAUCUAGGAAAAGAUUACUUCCAGCAUAUUUAUAUCAGACUUUCUUGUAUUUUAAUCACAUGUUUAAUCUUCAAAUCAAACAUCCAAUCUUCUGUUUUGGUUAAAGUAGUCUUGACCCAACCAUGAUAUUUGGGACUAUAACAUACUGUUCAGGAUUUCCACAUGUUCUCUGAAACACCUUUGGAAACGGCUUAUGGUAGAGAAAUGAACAUUAAAUUAACAGGCAACAGCUCUGGUG